rnacentral:misc_RNA from 1 species
UCGAGUUAGGGUCUUGUAGGCCCGAUCUCCAACCCGAUGUUUAACUACCAUGUUGCUUUGGCGGGCCCGUCUCACGACCGUUGAGAGCCUUGCGGCUUUUGACCUGUGCCCGCCAGAAGCCUUUUCCAAAUUCUUGAACAAUGGUUUGUCUGAAUCAUAAACUUAAUAGUUA